GGAGUAACCUAGUGCCUAUAGCUAUGGCAGGUACCUGCAUCCUUGUUUUUGUUUAGUGGAUCCUCUAUCCUUCAGAGACUCUGGAACCCCUGUGCUCUUCUCCUCAUCUAGUGACCCUGAGGUGAUGGAGUUUUCAAGUCCUUCCAGAGAGGAAUGUCCCAAGCCUUCGGGUAGGGUAAGCAUCAUGGCUGGCAGCCUCACAGGAUUGCUUCUACUUCAGGCAGUGUCGUGGGCAUCAGAUGAGUGCCUUCAGCCGCUACAAGAGCAGAAGCAGUGGGCAUUGGAUGGAGCUGAGUACAGGACCAUACAGGCUAAUUGCACCGGCACAGUGAAAUAAGAUUUCGCCGCCUAUCAUCUGCUAACUGCUACGGACUCAGGCUCAGAAAGGCCUGCGCUUCACCCAGGAAUCGGAUAUAACAUCAUCUGGGUACCCAUGGCCAGCUGUGACUUCUCCAUCCGCACCUACACCUAUGCAGACACCCCUGAUGAUUUCCAGUUGCACAACUUCAGCCUCCCAGAGGAAGAUACCAAGCUCAAGAUACCCCUGAUUCACCGAGCCCUGCAGUUGGCCCAGCGUCCCGUUUCACUCCUUGCCAGCCCCUGGACAUCACCCACUCGGCUCAAGACCAGGGGAGCGGGGAAUGGGAAGGGGCCACUCAAGGGACAGCCCAGAGACAUCUACCACCAGACCUGGGCCAGAUACAUUGUGAAGUUCCUGGAUGCCUAUGCUGAGCACAAGUUACAGUUCUGGGCAGUGACAGCUGAAAAUGAGCCUUCUGCUGGGCUGUUGAGUGGAUACCCCUUCCAGUGCCUGGGCUUCACCCCUGAACAUCAGCGAGACUUCAUUGCCCGUGACCUAGGUCCUACCCUUGCCAACGGUACUCACCACAAUGUCCGCCUACUCAUGCUGGAUGACCAACGCUUGCUGCUGCCCCACUGGGCAAAGGUGGUACUGACAGACCCAGAAGCAGCUAAGUAUGUUCAUGGUAUUGCUGUACAUUGGUACCUGGACUUUCUGGCUCCAGCCAAAGCCACCCUAAGGGAGACACACCACCUGUUCCCCAACACCAUGCUCUUUGCCUCAGAGGCCUGUGUGGGUUCCAAGUUCUGGGAGCAGAGUGUGCGGCUAGGCUCCUGGGAUCGAGGGAUGCAGUACAGCCACAGCAUCAUCACAGUAAGCCACCCCAGUCUCCCUUCCUGCAAAGGAGACCUCAGACCCAUUAGUAGUCUCACCAAAGACUGAUAGAAGCCCUUCCUGUCCAGCUUUCCCCAGGUAGCCUGCCCUUUUGGGCAACUCUGGGGAACCAUGAUUCCCUGUCUUGCCUUUCCUUCACAGGUCUGCACACCUCAUUGCCCCUUUUGCAACUACUGAGGCACUUGCAGCUGCCUCAGACUUCUCAGCUCCCCUUGAGAUGCCUGGAUCUUCACACCCCCAACUCCUUAGCUACUAAGGAAUGUGCCCCUCACAGGGCUGACCUACCCACAGCUGCCUCUCCCACACGUGACCCUUACCUACACUCUCUGGGGACCCCCAGUGUUGCGCCUUUGUCUCCUUGCCUUUGUCCUUACCCUAGAACCUCCUGUACCAUGUGGUCGGCUGGACCGACUGGAACCCAUCAUUGUAGACAUCACCAAGCACACGUUUUACAAACAGCCCAUGUUCUACCACCUUGGCCACUUCAGCAAGUUCAUUCCUGAGGGCUCCCAGAGAGUGGGGCUGGUUGCCAGUCAGAAGAACGACCCGGACGCAGUGGCACUGAUGCAUCCCGAUGGCUCUGCUGUUGUGGUCGUGCUAAACCGCUCCUCUAAGGAUGUGCCUCUUACCAUCAAGGAUCCUGCUGUGGGCUUCCUGGAGACAAUCUCACCUGGCUACUCCAUUCACACCUACCUGUGGCGUCGCCAGUGAUGGAGCAGAUACUCAAGGAGGCACUGGGCUCAGCCUGGGCAUUAAAGGGACAGAGUCAGCUCACACGCUGUCUGUGACUAAAGAGGGCACAGCAGGGCCAGUGUGAGCUUACAGCGACGUAAGCCCAGGGGCAAUGGUUUGGGUGACUCACUUUCCCCUCUAGGUGGUGCCAGGGGCUGGAGGCCCCUAGAAAAAGAUCAGUAAGCCCCAGUGUCCCCCCAGCCCCCAUGCUUAUGUGAACAUGCGCUGUGUGCUGCUUGCUUUGGAAACUGGGCCUGGGUCCAGGCCUAGGGUGAGCUCACUGUCCGUACAAACACAAGAUCAGGGCUGAGGGUAAGGAAAAGAAGAGACUAGGAAAGCUGGGCCCAAAACUGGAGACUGUUUGUCUUUCCUGGAGAUGCAGAACUGGGCCCGUGGAGCAGCAGUGUCAGCAUCAGGGCGGAAGCCUUAAAGCAGCAGCGGGUGUGCCCAGGCACCCAGAUGAUUCCUAUGGCACCAGCCAGGAAAAAUGGCAGCUCUUAAAGGAGAAAAUGUUUGAGCCCA
ensembl:lncRNA GBA1LP glucosylceramidase beta 1 like, pseudogene